rnacentral:tRNA from 1 species
GCGUCGGUAGCAUAGCGGCCUAAUGCGCCCGCCUGUCACGCGGGAGAUCGCCGGUUCAAAUCCGGUCCGAUGCGCCA